rnacentral:rRNA from 1 species
UACGUAGGGUGCAAGCGUUAAUCGGAAUUACUGGGCGUAAAGCGCGCGUAGGUGGUUUGUUAAGUUGGAUGUGAAAUCCCCGGGCUCAACCUGGGAACUGCAUCCAAAACUGGCAAGCUAGAGUAUGGUAGAGGGUGGUGGAAUUUCCUGUGUAGCGGUGAAAUGCGUAGAUAUAGGAAGGAACACCAGUGGCGAAGGCGACCACCUGGACUGAUACUGACACUGAGGUGCGAAAGCGUGGGGGAGC